rfam:Daphnia pulex DAPPTscaffold_13262_Cont18563, whole genome shotgun sequence.
AGGAUUGACAGAUUGAGAGCUCUUUCUUGAUUCGGUGGGUGGUGGUGCAUGGCCGUUCUUAGUUGGUGGAGCGAUUUGUCUGGUUAAUUCCGAUAACGAACGAGACUCUAGCCUGCUAAAUAGGUGACGGGUUUUAUCAAUUGAAACCGAAGGGAGUACGGAGGCGUCGGGAUCAGGUGGCGGCGAUUCGGGUCUCGGUGGGACUGGUUCCUUUAGUGAGGCAAUCUCUCGGCUUGGUUUCGUUGUGCUUUGUUCGUCGGGUGUACGGCCUUCACGGGUUGGUUGCCUGGCGGAUGAGGUAUGGCGGGGCUUUGUCGGGAAUGUCUCGCGGGGGCUGGCUCUAUUGUUAUUCGGUCGUCGUCAUCCCCGGCGAUACCUUCUGCUCUCGCGUCCGUCACGCAGUCUUCUUAGAGGGACAAGCGGCGUCCAGCCGCGUGACAGUGAGCAAUAACAGGUCUGUGAUGCCCUUAGAUGUCCUGGGCCGCACGCGCGCUACACUGAAGGAAUCAGCGUGUUUCACUCUCCCUGUCCGAAAGGACCGGGUAACCGCUGAACCUCCUUCGUGGUUGGGAUUGGGGACUGCAAUGAUCCCCAUGAACCAGGAAUCCCUAGUAGGCGCGGGUCACUAGCCCGCGUCGAUUACGUCCCUGCCCUUUGUACACACCGCCCGUCGCUACUACCGAUUGAAUGAUUUAGUGAGGCCUUCGGACGGGCUUGUCGGGGUGCCGUCGAGUGGGGAGCAAUCUCUGCCCGUGCGGUGCCUACCAACGGCGAGACUGAAAGAUGGUCGAACUUGAUCCUUUAGAGGAAGUAAAAGUCGUAACAAGGUUUCCGUAGGUGAACCUGCGGAAGGAUCAUAA